GGACAAAGCUGAUAGAGUGAGAUCGUGGGCAGCACAGAUAACGGAACUUGCUCCUCUGUGACAUUAUCGGCGGACGGCUGAGUAACACGUGGGUAACCUACCUAUAAGACUGGAAUAACUCCGGGAAACCGGGGCUAAUGCCGGAUAACAUUUAGAACCGCAUGGUUCUAAAGUGAAAGAUGGUUUUGCUAUCACUUAUAGAUGGACCCGCGCCGUAUUAGCUAGUUGGUAAGGUAAUGGCUUACCAAGGCAACGAUACGUAGCCGACCUGAGAGGGUGAUCGGCCACACUGGAACUGAGACACGGUCCAGACUCCUACGGGAGGCAGCAGUAGGGAAUCUUCCGCAAUGGGCGAAAGCCUGACGGAGCAACGCCGCGUGAGUGAUGAAGGGUUUCGGCUCGUAAAACUCUGUUAUUAGGGAAGAACAAACGUGUAAGUAACUGUGCACGUCUUGACGGUACCUAAUCAGAAAGCCGCGGCUAACUACGUGCCAG
rnacentral:rRNA from 1 species